rnacentral:rRNA from 1 species
GGGAAUUUUGCACAAUGGGGGAAACCCUGAUGCAGCGACGCCGCGUGAUUUAGAAGGCCUUCGGGUUGUAAAAAUCUUUUGUAUGGGAAGAAAAUGACAGUACCAUACGAAUAAGGACCGGCUAAUUACGUGCCAGCAGCCGCGGUAAUACGUAAGGUCCGAGCGUUGUCCGGAAUCAUUGGGCGUAAAGGGUACGUAGGCGGAUAAGCAAGUUAGAAGUUAAAUCCUAUAGCUCAACUAUAGCAAGCUUUUAAAACUGCUCAUCUUGAGGUAUGGAAGGGAAAGUGGAAUUCCUAGUGUAGCGGUGAAAUGCGCAGAUAUUAGGAGGAAUACCGGUGGCGAAGGCGACUUUCUGGCCAUAAACUGACGCUGAGGUACGAAAGCGUGGGUAGCAAAC